GUAACAAAUAGGACCAGGUACGAGGUUGUUCUCCAGCAAAGCACCUCAGAUAUGUUUCCAGGGAUCGGUUUGUGAACUCGGUUUGGCCGUUGGAUUGAGGGUGAUAAGAUGAACUGAGGCAAAGAGUGUUCCCUCACCCACCCCGUUGCUUGCAACAGGACCACAAAAAUAAAAGGGGAAAAUGAGAUGGGACUUUAUCAUAAGUACAAUUGACGAGCACUCUAGUACAAACAGAAAACCCACCCAGCAUCAAACAAAAAGUAGGGUAUAAACCAAUUCAAAAUCAUACCAUCCUAUGAAAAAUGCAUUAUGCCGACACCAAUGCAUUAGAAAAUGAGUUAAAAAAGAUGCCAAGUUUUAAUUUGAUACUCAUAAUAGUGUGACAAAAGAUAUCAUGUAUGACCUUUUCCCAAACAAACAUUUUAUACAGCGGUUCCACAAAUGCAUCCUAGUAUCCUACUCUUACAGGUUCAAUUAGAAAAUUUUGCUUCAUCUUUUUUUGGAACAUUGGAAGUGAAAAGGGGAAAACGAAGAACGUCAAGCUUGUGAACUAAGCAUAACCCAGAAAACCAUAGAAAAAAGGAAACUAGUUUUCUCUUCUAUUCAUAUAAACUAUCAAAUCAGUCAAGAGUCCAUAUGGGAAAAAGAAUAAGAGAGUUACCUUGAGGACUUGAUCCAUUUACCAAAAGGGUAUUUCCCCUCAUAAACGCUGUUUUGCUCCCCCGCAUGAAUGCCCUCUCUGCAGCCUCUUUGUUUCUCCUCAUGCUUUGUUUUCUCCACCCCAAUGACGCGCCUCUGUUGGAUCUUCACGGUGGAUGAGAGUGAGAGACAGAUAGGCGAGGUUGAAGGAAGGAACGAAUGAGUCGUGAGAAUGAGCUACUAGCAUCACAUUCCGGAUUAGUUUGGGCAAUGAAAAAAGUACCUUUCAGAAUGAUGAAACGAGAAGAUGGCUUCAUGGCUUCUCGCGGAAUCAUUAUGGAAAGCGACUCAGCGACAGCCAUU
rnacentral:lncRNA from 1 species